rnacentral:rRNA from 1 species
CUGCAACCCGCCUGUAUGAAGUUGGAAUCGCUAGUAAUCGCGGAUCAGCAUGCCGCGGUGAAUACGUUCCCGGGCCUUGUACACACCGCCCGUCACACCAUGAGAGUCGGGAACACCCGAAGUCCGUAGCCUAACUUAUCUGAGAGGGCGCGGCCGAAGGUGGGUUCGAUAAUUGGGGUGAAGUCGUAACAAGGUAUC